AACUUAUGACCUUGUACGCUUGGCCCGUGGUCUUGUGCCACGUUGUGACGAGCGUACGGGUCAUCCUUCUGGAGACUGCUUCUGACCUUUACUGGUUGGUUGCAUUAUCCAGAUCUUUUACUGUGAGAAAAACAAAGUGUUCAAAGCAAGCUAAGAUGCUUGAAUGCGUUAGCAUGGAAUAAUAAGAUAGGACUUCGGUUCUAUUUUGUUGGCUUUCAGGACCAAAGUAAUGAUUAAUAGGGAUAGUUGGGGGUGCUCGUAUUUAACGGUCAGCGGUGAAAUGCAUGGACCCGUUAAAGACGAACUUAUGCGAAAGCAUU
rnacentral:rRNA from 1 species